rnacentral:rRNA from 1 species
GACGAACGCUGGCGGCGUGCUUAACACAUGCAAGUCGAACGAAGUGGCGAACGGGUGAGUAACGCGUAAUCAACCUGCCCUUCAGAGGGGGACAACAGUUGGAAACGACUGCUAAUACCGCAUACUGAAGGAGGGGUUUGCGUUGUAUUAGCUAGUUGGAGGGGUAACGGCCCACCAAGGCGAUGAUCCGUAGCCGGUCUGGGAGGAUGGACGGCCAAAUAUGGACUUAGACAAGGCCCAGACUUCUACGGGAGGCAGCAGUGGGGAAUCUUCCGCAAUGGACGGAAGUCUGACUGAGCAACGCCGCGUGAGUGAUGACGGCCUUCGGGUUGUAAAGCUCUGUUAAUCGGGACGCGGUACCGGAAUAGAAAGCCACGGCUAACUACGUGCCAGCAGCCGCGGUAAUAC